CGAUACACCAGACUCAUGACAGACCUAUGACGUCUGAAAAUGACCAAUAUUCUAUUCAUUAGCAGGAGUAUUCUAACAUUCAUGAAAAACAAGGAUGAACUGUGGUUUCUUUGUUUUCUUGCUUUAAUCUAAAAAUUGAAGUUAGUUUAGCAGUUGACUGUUGCAGUCAUUUGGAUGUUUUGCAUGCAUUUCACUAGGAAGACUAAGAGCUAAGACUUUUUUAUUGCCAUGGCCUUGACUGUCUUGAUGUUGUUUUGCACCAUGCCCUUGUGUUGACUUUUGCAUACGAUAUUUUUCAGGCACCCGCUUUACAUAACGCAAGAAGGCAGCUGCAAGGACACGAGGAUGUGAAAGAGCCAGUGCAGCGCGACUUCACGUAGUGCAGAGGAGCCAAUGCCAAAAAAUCUAAAUACAUUGGCAUGUUAUUUGGACAAGAAAACUAGUAUGUGGGUAUAUUGGGUGUACCAUUUGACCAAAUGUCAACAAAAUCAAGAUACAGUAUGUUACACGAAGAUGAAAAUUCUCACGUGCUCCAGGCAGUCAUCUUAACAUGGUAUAUUUAUGUAAUGUCUCUGAUUGGAAAGUCAAAUCAAGUAUGCUCUCUGGAGACAAACACAUAGCAGCAAGUGUCAUUGAAAAGUUAAAAAUGUGUUUUAAGAAAGCUGAUUAGUUCUGAGAAGUGACUGCUUUUUGUCUUGCCUCUCAACAGAUAUAUCCAUGUGAUAAAAAAAUAGUGGUACAAUGAAAUUGCAUAUUUGCUUAGCGACAUGAUACAUACUUGCAAUGAGCACGGUGCCUUUGUUUACUAUAAAAAGCAACAGCCCAUGCUUGGUUAGGUUAGGCCCACUACAACAUGCAGGCAUGGGUGAUUGGCGCUUUUUUUAUUUCUGUGUCGUGAGGUUUAUUGACGUGCAUAUAGGUGCAGUGGCACGCAGUAUGGCUAGUACAAAAAAAAGGGGGGGGGGGCAGAUAUAUGUAGCUCACUGUACACGACACAGGGCAAAGGAAAUCCGUGUUCAGCAACUAUGUUAAAUGCCAUGUACGUAAAUUUUACAACGCUACUCGUUCGAAGCGCGCACAGGUGCAUAUUGAAGAAAAGUUUCCAGGGUAGAUAAUUUAGUUCGUAAUUUACACUAAUUUUGCUCUAACCACGAGACAUAAUAAUUUGAAUAUACUGCACGGAAAAACCUAGAGCGAAUUAAAUUGUGUGUCAGCUUCGUGUGUAUACAUAUAGUCUUUCCUAUGCAUUAGGUAUUUUGCGUAAUGCAAUAACAGUUGACAGCCUAUCUUAUGAUGUGUACUCUGUUUACAUUACAGUUGUUUAUUAGUUUACUCGUUUGUUUUGCGACUGGUGAAAUGCCGGCAUAUAUAUAUUUUCAACAUUUGACAUAACCCUGUAUGUUUUGCAGGGACAACCCAGGACGUGCAUUUCUCAGCACCCAGUCAACUGCCAAAAGUGACUCAAACACAGGCCACCAGUGGAACUCGGCUGUACCACUGCAGUGCUGCAGAAAUUGCCUUCACCAGCGGCUUUGCAACAGCUGUUUCGCAGCAUGUCGGAGACAAUGCCUACGAAAUUAUUGGCCCUGAUCAUGAGAGCCCUCAAGGGGCAAACAUCUCUGUUGCAGAAGUGAACCCGAUACCACUUGGAAGUUACCAUGACAGAUGACACGGCAGCAAUAGAUACAGAGACUGCCAUGUCUACUGCAGCUGCAACAGUGUACGAGGCAAGCAGCAGCGCGUCAGCAUCAGCAGCAGUGUCAGAAGGAACCACACCAGGCCUGGUAGAGCAACAUGUGUGCUAUCACUGACUUUUUUUGUAGUGGAUACAACUCAUUUGCUCAACAUACAAAAGCUUUUCACCACGACUGUGAGCCAGUGUUAUUGUGCAGCAAGUGCAAGACUAAGUUAGGUGUUAUAACACAGUACAAGCAUCACUUUAAUAUAUGCAAAUGCAAACAUAUUACAGUUGUUGCCUCCCCAGCCAGCCCACAUAGUGACAACAAUGUGGACCACAUGGUGGGACACACCUCUCCCCCAUUACAAGAUAGUAGAGACUGUCAGUGUUGUUGCUAGAUUGACUGGUCUUUGUAGGCAACUAGAAGGACAACACAGGUGUCAUAAGAUUGUUGUUGAUGUUGUUGUUGAAGAGGUAAAAAAGAAGUUUGAUGCAGCUGAAGUGCCAACUGAUAUUGAGCAAAUCAAAAGCAACCACCUGAGAAAACAAGACUAUCGAAAUUUCGGUAUUUAUGUGCCGCCAACUCUGGUAAGAAUGGCAUAGGACAGAAGUGUGAUGAAAAUCACACAGACACUGCUGUUGCAUCACUGGCCACAGUGAGCAGCGACUUGUAGGGCAAGAGAGUCAACUGAAACUAACAUUAUGAUAUAGUGUCAUGCUCCCAUGUGACCACUUUUCAAGUUAUUUUGCAAGAUACAGCUCAACCUCCAGAAACGAGACUGCAACUUGUCUGUAAAAAAGCUUUCACAAAAAAUUAUUCAUAACACUAUUAACAUAGCAGUAUCUUUUUUUUUUGUGUCGGUUCGAGGUUCCCGGCUGUCCAUUAAUGCAAAAAUUGAGGAAAAAAAAGAACAUGUGUCGUACUUACACCUUUUUAACAAGUACGAGGGGGACAGAACUUUUCUAGUCAUGCAUCUUCAUCAUACUAUCAAGUUUUUAAAUGCCUUUUAUAAUUAUUAUUACCAGUUAUAUCUGAGUGCAUUGUAUGCAUGUAGCAGGUGUAAAAUCAGGUCAGUUGGAUCAGAUGCCUUAUCUGCAAGCGAGCCCUAUAUUCAAGAAAUUUGAAUUAAAAUAGUUACGUUAGAGACGCAGCCUUUCAGCACUUUAUUGCCUGUGGUUUAAGCAUUGCUCAAUACUUUUGUGGGUGGCAAUUUCAACCGGCACAGCACUGCGCUUUGCCACAGUCACAUUUGUCUUCAAAGCGGUGUUUACCAUUUGUGUUGAUCUGUUUGUGUAUGCAUAGAGCAAGUUUUUAAUUUAUAUUUUUCUGCAUUCUUGUGCUUGCACUAAGCUUGUAUAAGGCAGUUACAAAAUGUGCGUCACUAUAACGAACUGUUCUGUUGAGCUUACACUUGCAAAUAAUCGUGUUCAGAUGGCCGCACUUCUAUGCGGGUGCACUGCUAGCUUUGUGUAUGUUCUCAUGUUUGUAUAAAGCUUAUAUAAGCUAGUUAGAAAAUGUAUGUCACUAAGCAUUGUGAUAUUCUUUAAAGAACUGCUUGGUUGGUUUUACACUUGUGAAUUCGUAUUGAGGCGGUGGUAUUCCCAUGUAUGCCCACUGCUAGCUUUCUGUGUCCUCACGUGUUUGUAUUAAGUUUCUACAAGGGAGUUACAGCAUGUACGUCACUAAGCGCUGUGAUAUUUUUUAAAGAACUGCUUUGUUGGUUUUACACCUGUGAGUAAUAGUACUCGGGUGGCACUAGUCAUGUGUAGGUACACAGGGACCAUUUGUAUACAUUAUGCUCAUGUAAAGCAGUUACAAAGUGUAUGUCACUAAUUACUGUGAUAUUUGUUGAAUUGCUGUGAUGGUUUUACACAUGUGAAUAAUAGUGGUCAGGACACAGUACUUGCGGUGUAUAGUUGAAUUUAUACACUGCCAAGACAUGGGCUGUAUACGUACCAAAAGAAAUGUAUGUCAUUAUAUUGUUGUGAUUAUUACUGUUUGGAUUUUAUUAAACUGUAAUAAAAUUGUUUCUUGUA